UGGCGACCGGCGCACGGGUGAGUAACACGUAUCCAACCUGCCGAUAACUCCGGAAUAGCCUUUCGAAAGAAAGAUUAAUACCGGAUGGCAUACGAAUAUCGCAUGAUAUUUUUAUUAAAGAAUUUCGGUUAUCGAUGGGGAUGCGUUCCAUUAGUUUGUUGGCGGGGUAACGGCCCACCAAGGCGACGAUCCCUAGCUGGUCUGAGAGGAUGACCAGCCACACUGGAACUGAGACACGGUCCAGACUCCUACGGGAGGCAGCAUG
rnacentral:rRNA from 1 species